GUAGGGUGGCAAGCGUUGUCCGGAAUUAUUGGGCGUAAAAGCGCGCGCAGGCGGGGUUCUUUAAGUCUGAUGUGAAAAGCCCACGGGCUCAACCGUGGAGGGGUCAUUGGAAAACUGGAGAACUUGAGUACAGAAGAGGAAAGCGGAAUUCCACGUGUAGCGGUGAAAUGCGUAGAGAUGUGGAGGAACACCAGUGGCGAAGGCGGCUUUCUGGUCUGUAACUGACGCUGAGGCGCGAAAGCGUGGGGAGCAAACAGGAUUAGAUACCCUGGUAGUCCACGCCGUAAACGAUGAGUGCUAAGUGGUUAGGGGGUUUCCGCCCCUUAGUGCUGCAGCUAACGCAUUAAGCACUCCGCCGUGGGGAGUACGGCCGCAAGGCU
rnacentral:rRNA from 1 species